rnacentral:pre_miRNA from 1 species
AAUAAAUAACGCCGUUGACUUUUUCUUACAUGUUUGACCAUUCGUCUUAUUCAAGAAAUUUACGUAACUAUAAUUUAUUUUGUUAUAAGUUGUUUUAUCACUUAUAUUACUUUAAGUGUGAUUUAUAUCGUAUACAUUUGCAUAAAAUUUUUGAAUAAAACGAAUGGUCAAACAUGUGAGAAAAAGUUAACGGCGUCAUCUAUU